UACGGAGGGCGCAAGCGUUGUUCGGAAUUACUGGGCGUAAAGGGCGCGUAGGCGGCCACCUAAGUCAGACGUGAAAUCCCUCGGCUCAACCGGGGAACUGCGUCUGAUACUGGGUGGCUUGAAUCCGGGAGAGGGAUGCGGAAUUCCAGGUGUAGCGGUGAAAUGCGUAGAUAUCUGGAGGAACACCGGUGGCGAAGGCGGCAUCCUGGACCGGUAUUGACGCUGAGGCGCGAAAGCCAGGGGAGCAAACGGG
rnacentral:rRNA from 1 species